rnacentral:rRNA from 1 species
CUUUGGGCUCAACCGAAGAAGUGCAUCUCAACUGCGCAACUGACUGCAGCUGAUGUCAUUGGAUCUCCUUGUAGCUGUGAAAUGCGUAGAUAUAUGGAAGAACUCCAGUGGUGAAGGCGGCUGUUUGGUCUGUAACUGACGCUGUGGCUCGAAAGUAUGGGUAGCAAACAGGAUUAGAUACCCUGGUAGUCCAUACCGUAAACGAUGAAUGCUAAGUGUUGGAGGGUUUCCGCCCUUCAGUGCUGCAGCUAACGCAUUAAGCAUUCCGCCUGGGGAGUACGGCCGCAAGGCUGAAACUCAAAGGAAUUGACGGGGGCCCGCACAAGCGGUGGAGCAUGUGGUUUAAUUCGAAGCUACGCGAAGAACCUUACCAGGUCUUGACAUACUAUGCAAAUCUAAGAGAUUAGACGUUCCCUUCGGGGACAUGGAUACAGGUGGUGCAUGGUUGUCGUCAGCUCGUGUCGUGAGAUGUUGGGUUAAGUCCCGCAACGAGCGCAACCCUUAUUAUCAGUUGCCAGCAUUAAGUUGGGCACUCUGGUGAGACUGCCGGUGACAAACCGGAGGAAGGUGGGGAUGACGUCAAAUCAUCAUGCCCCUUAUGACCUGGGCUACACACGUGCUACAAUGGAUGGUACAACGAGUUGCGAACUCGCGAGAGUAAGCUAAUCUCUUAAAGCCAUUCUCAGUUCGGAUUGUAGGCUGCAACUCGCCUACAUGAAGUCGGAAUCGCUAGUAAUCGCGGAUCAGCAUGCCGCGGUGAAUACGUUCCCGGGCCUUGUACACACCGCCCGUCACACCAUGAGAGUUUGUAACACCCAAAGUCGGUGGGGUAACCUUUUAGGAACCAGCCGCCUAAGUGACAG